CGGCAUGCCUUACACAUGCAAGUCGAACGGCAGCACGGGAGCAAUCCUGGUGGCGAGUGGCGAACGGGUGAGUAAUAUAUCGGAACGUGCCCAGUCGUGGGGGAUAACGUAGCGAAAGCUACGCUAAUACCGCAUACUAUCUAUGGAUGAAAGCGGGGGAUCGCAAGACCUCGCGCGAUUGGAGCGGCCGAUAUCAGAUUAGGUAGUUGGUGAGGUAAAGGCUCACCAAGCCGACGAUCUGUAGCUGGUCUGAGAGGACGACCAGCCACACUGGGACUGAGACACGGCCCAGACUCCUACGGGAGGCAGCAGUGGGGAAUUUUGGACAAUGGGCGCAAGCCUGAUCCAGCAAUGCCGCGUGCAGGAUGAAGGCCUUCGGGUUGUAAACUGCUUUUGUACGGAACGAAACGGUGAGCUCUAAUACAGUUUGCUAAUGACGGUACCGUAAGAAUAAGCACCGGCUAACUACGUG
rnacentral:rRNA from 1 species